rnacentral:tRNA from 1 species
GGGGUUAUAGCUCAAUUGGGGGAGCAAUUGUUUUGCAAACAAAAGGUCGUGGGUUCGAAUCCCAUUAACUCCA